UACGGGGGGGGCAAGCGUUGUUCGGAAUUACUGGGCGUAAAGGGCUCGUAGGCGGCCAACUAAGUCAGACGUGAAAUCCCUCGGCUUAACCGGGGAACUGCAUCUGAUACUGGAUGGCUUGAGUUCGGGAGAGGGAUGCGGAAUUCCAGGUGUAGCGGUGAAAUGCGUAGAUAUCUGGAGGAACCCCGGUGGCGAAGGCGGCAUCCUGGACCGACACUGACGCUGAGGAGCGAAAGCCAGGGGAGCAAACGGA
rnacentral:rRNA from 1 species